GCUGGUGUGGUUCAGUGGAUAGAGCAUUGGCCUGUGAACUGAAGGCCCCGGGUUCAAUUCCGGGUAAGAGCA
rnacentral:tRNA from 1 species